GCAGCCAUUGUAAAUAAGUCCCAU
rnacentral:siRNA from 1 species